UUNUCAGCCAAGACCUACUUGAACUGCGUGC
rnacentral:piRNA from 1 species